UACGUAGGGAGCAAGCGUUGUCCGGAAUCAUUGGGCGUAAAGCGCGCGUAGGUGGCCUCGUAAGUCCGCUGUGAAAGUCAAAGGCUCAACCUUUGAAAGCCGGUGGAUACUGUGAGGCUAGAGUACGGAAGAGGCGAGUGGAAUUCCCGGUGUAGCGGUGAAAUGCGCAGAUAUCGGGAGGAACACCAGUAGCGAAGGCGGCUCGCUGGGCCAUUCCUGACGCUGAGACGCGAAAGCUAGGGGAGCGAACAGG
rnacentral:rRNA from 1 species